rnacentral:rRNA from 1 species
CUUAACACAUGCAAGUCGAGGGGCAGCACGAUGUAGCAAUACAUUGGUGGCGACCGGCGCACGGGUGAGUAACGCGUAUGCAACCUACCUAUCAGAGGGGAAUAACCCGGCGAAAGUCGGACUAAUACCGCAUAAAACAGGGGUUCCACAUGGAAAUAUUUGUUAAAGAAUUAUCGCUGAUAGAUGGGCAUGCGUUCCAUUAGAUAGUUGGUGAGGUAACGGCUCACCAAGUCCACGAUGGAUAGGGGUUCUGAGAGGAAGGUCCCCCACACUGGUACUGAGACACGGACCAGACUCCUACGGGAGGCAGCAGUGAGGAAUAUUGGUCAAUGGGCGAGAGCCUGAACCAGCCAAGUCGCGUGAAGGAUGAAGGAUCUAUGGUUUGUAAACUUCUUUUAUAUGGGAAUAAAGUGAGGAACGUGUUCCUUUUUGUAUGUACCAUAUGAAUAAGCAUCGGCUAACUCCGUGCCAGCAGCCGCGGUAAUACGGAGGAUGCGAGCGUUAUCCGGAUUUAUUGGGUUUAAAGGGUGCGUAGGUGGUUAAUUAAGUCAGCGGUGAAAGUUUGUGGCUCAACCAUAAAAUUGCCGUUGAAACUGGUUGACUUGAGUAUAUUUGAGGUAGGCGGAAUGCGUGGUGUAGCGGUGAAAUGCAUAGAUAUCACGCAGAACUCCGAUUGCGAAGGCAGCUU